rnacentral:rRNA from 1 species
AUUGAACGCUGGCGGCAGGCCUAACACAUGCAAGUCGAACGAGUGGCGGACGGGUGAGUAAUGUCUGGGAAACUGCCUGAUGGAGGGGGAUAACUACUGGAAACGGUAGCUAAUACCGCAUACCAUCAGAUGUGCCCAGAUGGGAUUAGCUUGUUGGUGGGGUAAAGGCUCACCAAGGCGACGAUCCCUAGCUGGUCUUGGAGGAUGACAGGACACAAUGGGACUGAGACACGGUCCAGACGCCUACGGGAGGCAGCAGUGGGGAAUAUUGCACAAUGGGCGCAAGCCGGAUGCAGACAUGCCGCGUGUAUGAAGAAGGCCUUAGGGUUGUAAAGUACUUUCAGCGGGGAGGCGUUACCCGCAGAAGAAGCACCGGCUAACUCCGUGCCAGCAGCCGCGGUAAUUC